CAGACUCUGAAGCAGAGCCCUCUAGUUUGUCCCACCGCUUGCAGCUUAUGUCUUUUGAAAGAGGUGUGAGGGAUUCACUGUCCUUUAGAGAUAACACAUAUUGUUCUUCAGCAUGAAGAAAGAACAUCACUGUGUAUCAGAACCACUCCUGCUAGAACAUGAAGUUUACACAGAAGAGAUAGAAAAAAAGAAGUCAACAUAUGCAUUCACACAUAGGCAACUGCCUUUACCAGAACUCCUUUCUUGUUCACAUCCACCUCACUUGAAGCAAAGCCUUCAAACACUUCUGUUUCAGAGUCAGUGUCUUCAGUGAAAAUCCUCCGCAGUUCUUCAGUGAGGUAUCUGGACUGAAACUGAACCCCCUGUAAAAAUAUCAGCCAGCAGCUGUGAGAGAUAGUCAGAUACAGAGUAGUCACACAGUCACAAUAAACAGGUCCUGAGGCUCAAGCAGGUACCAACUAGAUGGCAUAUACUGUGAAAGCACUUUGCAGGCAAAGGCAGUCAGAAGAAAAAAAGCAGAAGACAUUCAGAGUUUCAGCACUGAGUUAUUUUAACUUAGCAGGAUUUUUUUGCCUUAUUUUGAGCACAGGGCUUUAACUGAGCUGCUUCUUGAGGGGGGCGGGGAAACUUCUUCUUUGCCUCUUCCUCCUCUUCUUCACUACUACCCAAUAAAAAUAAAUUAUCAGUUUUCUUAUGUGUAAAUUA